rnacentral:rRNA from 1 species
UACAGAGGUCUCAAGCGUUGUUCGGAUUCAUUGGGCGUAAAGGGUGCGUAGGUGGCGCGCUAAGUCGGGUGUGAAAUUUCGGAGCUUAACUCCGAAACUGCAUUCGAUACUGGCGUGCUUGAGGACUGGAGAGGAGACUGGAAUUCAUGGUGUAGCAGUGAAAUGCGUAGAGAUCAUGAGGAAGACCAGUGGCGAAGGCGGGUCUCUGGACCACAACUGACGCUGAGGCGCGAAAGCUAGGGGAGCAAACAGG